UACGGGGGGGGCAAGCGUUGUUCGGAAUUACUGGGCGUAAAGAGCGUGUAGGCGGCCAAGCAGGUCCGCUGUGAAAACUCGAGGCUCAACCUCGAGACGUCGGUGGAAACCGUUUGGCUAGAGUCCGGAAGAGGAGAGUGGAAUUCCCGGUGUAGCGGUGAAAUGCGCAGAUAUCGGGAAGAACACCCGUGGCGAAGGCGGCUCUCUGGGCCGACACUGACACUGAGAGACGAAAGCUAGGGGAGCGAAUGGG
rnacentral:rRNA from 1 species